rnacentral:vault_RNA from 1 species
ACGUCGGUUUAGCUCAGAGGAUAGUUCUGCAGUUGACAUGUCUUGUCUGACAUUUAUGCGCCUUUCGCGAGUUCGAUCACGGGCGCUGUCCGAUGCUUUU